rnacentral:misc_RNA from 1 species
UUUGUCAACAACGGUACGCACGCGUUUGCCAAUGCCAGCGGGUGGCGAGGCCGAUGUUAGCAAGUUCGAAACUUUGUGCAUUAGACCUCAACCUGGCCGCUGGAAUUUUGAAAGCUGAACACUUUACGAUGCGCUUCCGUCCAACCGGUUCCUUAUUCUGUGCUCCCGACUGCCCGGUGUAGCGAGACGGUCGUUCUGCAAAGUGAACACGAUGAUGUCGACUUCGCUUCGGUCGGUGCUGGCUGUCGUCGUGCUCUUCGCGGGAGUCGCCUUCGGACAAGCCUUAUCCGAAAGCCCCGGUCUAUCCGCCAGCGACGCGACUUCGUCGACGAUCCUGCGCGACGGCCACCACUACCUCGCCAGCAGGUCGUACAGCCACCGAAAGGACCUGGUCAUCUUCUGCUACCCGGGCGAGCCCGCCAGCUACCUGUCGCUCUUCAAGUCCGUCUACGUCGAGUUCAAACUCGUGCCCGAACGCUACACGCUCUUCGAGGGGCCUGACGAGGCGUCGGUGCGCGCGCAGUUCGACUCGCACCUGGCCAGCUGGGUCCCGCUGCUGCCCUGGAGGCGGUCGACCAUCUCGCUGUCGGCGUUCCGGCCGCACUGCAUCGGCGUGGUGUCCGACGACGACUACCGGUUCGAGCUGGUGGUGCGCGAGGCCAACUACUGGCGCUUGCUGCAGUUCGCGCUCGCGGUGCUGCUCUUCUUCGGCGUGCCCUCUCUGUGCCGCAACACACUAGUGUUCUACUCGUGCGGCGUCACCGUGGGCGUGCUCGCGUCCCUGCUCGUCGUCGUGUUCGUCGUGGGCCGCCUGCUGCCGCGUCGCACGGCGGGCUACGCGGUCGUCUGCUUUGGAUGGUCGCUGGUGCUCUACCUGCUGCAGCUGCUCUGGUCGAACGUCUACCAGGUUCUGGCCGACUACAAGAAUGUUCUGGCCGGCUACAUCGCAUUCACGGCGCUCGUGAGCUUCGCUGUCUGCUAUCGCGUGGGGCCACCGACAAAUCCACGAACUCUGGAUUUGAUUCAGUGGUCGCUGCAGCUCGCAGCGCUGGGCGGGGUAAUCACGUCGUCCGAGCUCCGAGAAGCGACGUGCGCCAUUGUGCUUGCCAUGCUUGUCGCCUACAACUUCCCUCCGAAGUGGUCGGCCAAGCUGAAGACCUGGUGGAGGACGCGCGUGUGUCGGCCAAAGGUGACCCUUCUUACCGAGGAGGAGUACAUCUUGCAGGGCGACGUGGAGACGAGAAAGGCCCUGGAGGCCCUGCGGGAGUUUUGCGGCAGCCCCAACUGCAAGACGUGGCAGGUGGUCACUCGCCUCAAGGACCCCGUGCGGUUUGCCAAGUUUGUUCAGGGACAGUCACACCUCGCGGACGAGGAGGUCCUCCAGUACGAACUGGACUCGUCGGACAGGCAACCUAGUGACCAGGACUGCCAGUUGACAGAAGAGAGCGACGACGAGCAGCCAUCGUUCACAGAGCUUGCAGAGUAGGUUGAUUGAGACAGGCGAUACCAACUGGCACUUUGCUAACACUCUAAAGAUGGCUGGUGGUUGGUGCGCACUACUGGGUUGUUGUUAACUUAAACAUUUGGAUUGUAUGAUCCUGCAGGACUCAUGAAACCUGCACCAGCUCAGAAGGUUACAAGAUAACAGGCAACUCAGUCGAGGAGCUCGAUGAGAUUUGUCAGAUUUGUGCGGGAACAAGAGAAUUUAU